rnacentral:rRNA from 1 species
AGGGCGCACGGCGGAUGCCUUGGCACUAGGAGCCGACGAAGGACGUGACAAACGACGAUAUACCUUGGGUAGCUGUAAGUAAGCGAUGAUCCAGGGAUUUCCGAAUGGGGGAACCCAACAGGUAAUACCUGUUACCCACAUCUGUUAAGGAUGUGAGGAGGAAGACGCAGUGAACUGAAACAUCUAAGUAGCUGCAGGAAGAGAAAGCAAAAGCGAUUGCCUUAGUAGCGGCGAGCGAAACGGCAGAAGGGCAAACCGAAGAGUUUACUCUUCGGGGUUGUAGGACUGCAAUGUGGACUCAAAGAUUAUAGAAGAAUGAUUUGGGAAGAUCAGCCAAAGAGAGUAAUAGCCUCGUAUUUAAAAUAGUCUUUGUACCUAGCAGUAUCCUGAGUACGGCGGGACACGUGAAAUCCCGUCGGAAUCUGGGAGGACCAUCUCCCAACCCUAAAUACUCCCUAGUGACCGAUAGUGAACCAGUACCGUGAGGGAAAGGUGAAAAGCACCCCGGGAGGGGAGUGAAAUAGAACCUGAAACCGUGUGCCUACAACAAGUUCGAGCCCGUUAAUGGGUGAGAGCGUGCCUUUUGUAGAAUGAACCGGCGAGUUACGUUAUGAUGCGAGGUUAAGUUGAAGAGACGGAGCCGUAGGGAAACCGAGUCUGAACAGGGCGAAUUAGUAUCAUGACGUAGACCCGAAACCAUGUGACCUACCCAUGAGCAGGUUGAAGGUGCGGUAAGACGCACUGGAGGACCGAACCAGGGCACGUUGAAAAGUGCUUGGAUGACUUGUGGGUAGCGGAGAAAUUCCAAACGAACUUGGAGAUAGCUGGUUCUCUCCGAAAUAGCUUUAGGGCUAGCGUCGACAUUAGAGAUUCUUGGAGGUAGAGCACUGUUUGGGUGAGGGGUCCAUCCCGGAUUACCAAUCUCAGAUAAACUCCGAAUGCCAAUGAAUUAUGGUCGGCAGUCAGACUGCGAGUGCUAAGAUCCGUAGUCGAAAGGGAAACAGCCCAGACCACCAGCUAAGGUCCCAAAAUAAUUGUUAAGUGGAAAGGAUGUGGGGUUGCACAGACAACUAGGAUGUUAGCUUAGAAGCAGCUAUUCAUUCAAAGAGUGCGUAAUAGCUCACUAGUCGAGUGACCCUGCGCCGAAAAUGUACCGGGGCUAAAACAAUUUACCGAAGCUGUGGAUACCUUUAUAGGUAUGGUAGGAGAGCGUUCUAUGUGUGAUGAAGGUAUACCGUGAGGAGUGCUGGAACGCAUAGAAGUGAGAAUGCCGGUAUGAGUAGCGAAAGACAGGUGAGAAUCCUGUCCACCGUAAGACUAAGGUUUCCAGGGGAAGGCUCGUCCGCCCUGGGUUAGUCGGGACCUAAGGAGAGACCGAAAGGUGUAUCCGAUGGACAACAGGUUGAUAUUCCUGUACUAGAGUAUGUAGUGAUGGAGGGACGCAGUAGGCUAACUAAAGCAGACGAUUGGAAGAGUCUGUCUAAGCAGUGAGGUGUGAAUUGAGUCAAAUGCUUAAUUCUAUAACAUUGAGCUGUGAUGGGGAGCGAAGUUUAGUAGCGAAGUUAGUGACGUCACACUGCCAAGAAAAGCUUCUAGCGUUUAAACAUACUCUACCCGUACCGCAAACCGACACAGGUAGUCGAGGCGAGUAGCCUCAGGUGAGCGAGAGAACUCUCGUUAAGGAACUCGGCAAAAUGACCCCGUAACUUCGGGAGAAGGGGUGCUGACUUUAGGUCAGCCGCAGUGAAUAGGCCCAAGCAACUGUUUAUCAAAAACACAGCUCUCUGCUAAAUCGUAAGAUGAUGUAUAGGGGGUGACGCCUGCCCGGUGCUGGAAGGUUAAGAGGAGUGCUUAGCGUAAGCGAAGGUAUGAAUUGAAGCCCCAGUAAACGGCGGCCGUAACUAUAACGGUCCUAAGGUAGCGAAAUUCCUUGUCGGGUAAGUUCCGACCCGCACGAAAGGCGUAAUGAUUUGGGCACUGUCUCAACGAGAGACUCGGUGAAAUUUUAGUACCUGUGAAGAUGCAGGUUACCCGCGACAGGACGGAAAGACCCCAUGGAGCUUUACUGCAGUUUGA